CCUACGGGCGGCUGCAGUGGGGAAUAUUGGACAAUGGGCGAAAGCCUGAUCCAGCCAUGCCGCGUGUGUGAAGAAGGCCUUCGGGUUGUAAAGCACUUUCAGUGGGGAAGAAAGCCUUGGGGCUAAUACCCUCGAGGAAGGACAUCACCCACAGAAGAAGCACCGGCUAACUCCGUGCCAGCAGCCGCGGUAAUACGGAGGGUGCGAGCGUUAAUCGGAAUUACUGGGCGUAAAGCGCGCGUAGGCGGUCUGAUAAGCCAGUUGUGAAAGCCCCGGGCUCAACCUGGGAACGGCAUCCGGAACGGUCAGGCUAGAGUGCAGGAGAGGAAGGUAGAAUUCCCGGUGUAGCGGUGAAAUGCGUAGAGAUCGGGAGGAAUACCAGUGGCGAAGGCGGCCUUCUGGCCUGACACUGACGCUGAGGUGCGAAAGCGUGGGUAGCAAACAGGAUUAGAUACCCGAGUAGU
rnacentral:rRNA from 1 species